UUUAGAUAAUAAAAACCUCAUUCCUGAUAUUUAAAAAAAAUGUACUUUCGGUUCACAGGAUGAAAAUCAUUAUGUAAAACCACACAGGUACAGAAAGAACGAUGACUACUCUUUGCCAGGUGCUUUACCUAGGCUGUGUUUUCUGCUUUUUUAUAACGUGCCAUCCUUACAUUAGGAAGAGAGCGAGCCUCACAGAAUCUAAUUAUUUUGUCCAGAGUCAUAAAGUCUAGCUUUGAAACCAAGUCCAUCUAAAUCCCAUUUUCUUAACGUUUCACCCAGCCGGGAGAUAAUGGACACUAAAAGGCAGGCACGUACCAAAAAAGAUACAUUCUUU
rnacentral:lncRNA from 1 species